rnacentral:rRNA from 1 species
GAUGAACGCUGGCGGCGUGCCUAAUACAUGCAAGUCGAGCGAAUGGAUUAAGAGCUUGCUCUUAUGAAGUUAGCGGCGGACGGGUGAGUAACACGUGGGUAACCUGCCCAUAAGACUGGGAUAACUCCGGGAAACCGGGGCUAAUACCGGAUAACAUUUUGAACCGCAUGGUUCGAAAUUGAAAGGCGGCUUCGGCUGUCACUUAUGGAUGGACCCGCGUCGCAUUAGCUAGUUGGUGAGGUAACGGCUCACCAAGGCAACGAUGCGUAGCCGACCUGGGAGGGUGAUCGGCCACACUGGGACUGAGACACGGCCCAGACUCCUACGGGAGGCAGCAGUAGGGAAUCUUCCGCAAUGGACGAAAGUCUAACGGAGCAACGCCGCGUGAGUGAUGAAGGCUUUCGGGUCGUAAAACUCUGUUGUUAGGGAAGAACGAGUGCUAGUUGAAUAAGCUGGCACCUUGACGGUACCUAACCAGAAAGCCACGGCUAACUACGUGCCAGCAGCCGCCGUAA